AACAUUGCAUCCUGCACUAGUGCAUUUGUAAUAGCUCCUUGGAUGGGGAUUCCCUUUGACCACCUUCUGGCCAUACUUGCGCCACCUGUAGCCAUCAUCCAAAAGAUCAACUUCGCUUCUUGUUUGAACAAUGAUUUUCGGUUCUGUGACUGUCUUGUGUGGUAAAGCAGCCUCAGAUGUCCCAACAUCUGUAUGCCUUCUUUUUGGUUUUGGCUCAUCAUCAUCAUCCCCGUCUUCUGGUCUUGUUGCUCGAUCACCUGCUUCCUCACUGUCACUUGAUCCAGGUAGUUCUAUGGGAUCUGCUUGAGUAGAUUCCUGCUCCCUCCCAUGCACUGAAUGACUUGGUAGUGUUUCACUCAACUUGUUCAUAUUACUAGCUUGAGAUUGGGAACUAAGUUCAAACUUAGCCUGAGAAUUUAUACCUCCGUUUAUGUCACUAUUAUCUUUUGCACGCUUAUUGGGUUGAGGCUGAUCAUGGUUGUGCAGGCCUUUAUAGAUGAUCUCAGUUAU
rnacentral:misc_RNA from 1 species